AGGGACUAUGUAUCUCGGCUGGCCUUGAACGCCUUGGGCUCCCCCCGGAGGAGCUGGAGGUGUCUGGGGUGAGGGACGUCUGGGUGUCACUACUACAUCUGCUGCCACCGCAACCCAGUCCCAGAUGAAGCGGAAGACAACGAGUAUGAGUACGAAGAAAUUUGGCAUUUAUGUUGAUUGAUUACACUGAUUACAUUGAUCUCUUUCUGUUACACUGUAUUGCAAUAAGCACAAGAAUAUAUUUGUUUUUCUAAAUAGUAAAUUACAUGUUUUGUUUUUUCUAUUGGAUGCUGAAUUUAAUUAAAAUGUGAAAAUAUGCCAGUCCAUCGUUGCAAUGAACUGGGAUAUUUUGACAUGUCCAGGGUGUACCCUGCCUCUCGCCCAUAGACUGCUGGAAAUAGACUCCCUAGUGACCCACUAUGUAAUAAGAAGAUGAAUGAAUGAAUGUCAAAAUAUGAUUUCUGACAAUGUUAAAAGAAUAAAACUAAUGAAAAUCCAAAAUUAAUUUUCACAGAAAAGGAAAUUACUUUGGAUAAAUAAAAAUAGAUAUUUUAAAAGACUUCAGAUUUCCCAGUUGCCGAGCAGGUAGAGAUUGACAAGCUUCACCUAAAGGUAAGCCACAAAAGGUGAUUGCUAAAGAAGCUGGCUUGUCAGAGUGACUAAUUAUAGUAAUGGGAAUGUUAAUAAAAAGCAAAAUUGAAGGUAGAAAAAGGUCCUAAAGCAACUGGGAUAACUGUUGCCUUAAGAUAAUUGUGGAUAAAAGCCAAUGCAAGAGUUUGGCAUGGACCUUAGCUUGAGUGAGUGCUUUAAAAACCACUAUACACAGACAUUUCCAGGACCACUGUUUAAACGGUCACAUCCCCUGUGUUAAGCCACUCCUGAAUCGGAGACAACUUCAGGACCAUCUUAUCUGGGCUAAGGAGUAAAAAGGACUGGCCAGUGGUCCAAAUCUCUCUUUUCAAAUGAAAGUACAUUUUACGUUUAAUUUAGAAAUCAAAGUGGCAGAAUCCAUAGAAAGAGUGGAGAGGCAAAGAAUCCAAGUUGCUUGAGGUUCAGUGUGAAGUUUCCACAAUCCACAAACAUUUGGGGAACCAUGUCAUCUACCGAUCUGGAUCUACUGUGUUUUAUCCAGUCUAAAAUCAGUGCAGCUGUCAGGAAGUUGUAUGCUACUCUCUGCUGAUAAGCUUUAUUAAAAUUCUAGUUUGGUUUUAUUAUUAGGACUUGGCUCCUUACCUUCAGAAGUACCAAUACUUUAUUGACAAUCGUACCACUUGAGCUGGCUUGACCCAAACCCCACAGAAAUACUUUGGGCUAUUGUCAAGAAGAAGAUUAGAGACUGCAGGGUCUUCAUGCCACACGGCAUUCAGGCAUUCAUGCAACAGGAACUGUCACAAUCUCUUUGUAUUACUCUAUGUGAUUUACCUGUCGUCCCGGAGAGACUUUACUGAUGGGCACACCUGUAUCCAAUCUCUGGCUGGAGCGUUUUUAAGGAGCUGCAGGACAAGUAUUCUUCUGUUGGAAUAAUUGUAUAUAGAUUUAUCUUACAUUUGCUCUACUAUUUGACCUUUAUAAACUUUCAUGUUGUAUGUGUAAGCAAACGUGUGAUGAGUUGUUUGCAGGCAAGGAGGAAAGGUGGAAUCAAGAUGAUGCAGUCACAGUUGAGGACAUCACAAAGACAAUGGCUGAUUGUGCUGAACAAAGAAUGCACAUACCUUAAGAUUAUGGAGACUAUGCAAGCUUUGUUUUGUACAAGAUAAUGGUGUUCAUGAUCUAUGUCACGUUGCUGCUGUUUGUUCCCCCAUCCUUCAGAGCAGCAACGUUCAUUGUAACUAUGGACCAACCUAAAUAAAAAGACGAUUCGGAGAGAUGGUUUUCAGAGCGGUAUUUUAGGUUGAUUAAACCUGACACUUCGCCUGAUGCUCCACGUUGAGUGGUCGUAUGGAUCACAACUCUGGAUACACAACCUUCACAGAAACUCAGGACCUCAUCUACCGGCUGCCUCUGCAGGCUCCUACCGAAUCCUCCAGCCUGCCCGCUCUCCAACAAUAACUGGGAUUAAUUUUUUCUGACUCUCUGGACUUCUGGCCCACAGAUAGUGCCCAAGACCCCCCCGAGAUCUUUGCUACCAGGAGACCACAAGCCUGAGAACCAAGACUCAACGACCAGAGACAGUUAUUCUUUGAGAUAAUUAACCUUUUGAACUUACUGGUGUCCUUAAGUGAUUCUGCAUGUGGGUCAGGAAACUCUGCUAAUAUGACAGGAAUAUUGACCAUGGGUGUAUUCAUUGUACUUUACAUAGACAUGCAUUUCAGUAGGCUGUCAUUUCUGUAUUAAUUGGUCUGAAAUUUUAAACAAUUCUGAGAAACUAAAUUUUGGGUUUUUGGUAUCUAAAAAUCAAUUCAAUCCCAUUCAAUUCAAUUCAGUUUUAUUUAUAUAGUGCCAAUUCACAACACAUGCUGUCUCAAGGUACUUCACAAAGGGUUUGGAAUGGUGCGGGUUUGUUGGGGAGGUUAGA